GCAAAACCUAAUGUGAUUUAUUGCGCGACGAUUUUAUUGAAAAAGAUCGUGCUCGUGGUAUCUUUUUCACUCAGGACUGGGUAUCCAUGCCGGGUGUUAUACCAGUAGCUUCAGGUGGUAUUCAUGUUUGGCAUAUGCCAACUCUGACCGAAAUCUUUGGGGAUGAUUUUGUAUUACAAUU